rnacentral:rRNA from 1 species
UUGGGAUCUCGUUUCGAUAAACCUAARGGCGUAAUGAAAGUAAAGGUUUUCCUCUCGCGGGGGAACCUAGGGAGGAUGGGCCCGAGACCGUAUUCACGUUCCGUUCCGCACUCCCGGGGCGUCUCGUUCUCAUCGCGAGAAGAGGCGCACCAAGAGCGUACACGCUGGGACCCGAAAGAUGGUGAACUAUGCCUGGUCAGGACGAAGUCAGGGGAAACCCUGAUGGAGGUCCGUAGCGAUUCUGACGUGCAAAUCGAUCGUCGGAACUGGGUAUAGGGGCGAAAGACUAAUCGAACCAUCUAGUAGCUGGUUCCCUCCGAAGUUUCCCUCAGGAUAGCUGGCGCUCGCCGCGCACGAGUCUCAUCCGGUAAAGCGAAUGAUUAGAGGCAUUGGGGUCGAAACGACCUCAACCUAUUCUCAAACUUUAAAUGGGKGAGAUCUCCGGCUUGCUCGAACUAACGUAUAAAAAAGCUAUGCGCGAGACGCGCGUUCGCGCGCCGUCGCGCGCGUAGUCGUUGAAGCCGCGAGACAUACGGAUCAGAGUGCCAAGUGGGCCAUUUUUGGUAAGCAGAACUGGCGCUGKGGGAUGAACCAAACGUCGAGUUAAAGCGCCUAAAUCGACGCUUAUGGGAUACCAUGAAA